AGAGUUUGAUCAUGGCUCAGAUUGAACGCUGGCGGCAGGCCUAACACAUGCAAGUCGAGCGGUAGCACAGAGAGCUUGCUCUCGGGUGACGAGCGGCGGACGGGUGAGUAAUGUCUGGGAAACUGCCUGAUGGAGGGGGAUAACUACUGGAAACGGUAGCUAAUACCGCAUAACGUCGCAAGACCAAAGUGGGGGACCUUCGGGCCUCAUGCCAUCAGAUGUGCCCAGAUGGGAUUAGCUAGUAGGUGGGGUAACGGCUCACCUAGGCGACGAUCCCUAGCUGGUCUGAGAGGAUGACCAGCCACACUGGAACUGAGACACGGUCCAGACUCCUACGGGAGGCAGCAGUGGGGAAUAUUGCACAAUGGGCGCAAGCCUGAUGCAGCCAUGCCGCGUGUAUGAAGAAGGCCUUCGGGUUGUAAAGUACUUUCAGCGGGGAGGAAGGCGAUAAGGUUAAUAACCUUGUCGAUUGACGUUACCCGCAGAAGAAGCACCGGCUAACUCCGUGCCAGCAGCCGCGGUAAUACGGAGGGUGCAAGCGUUAAUCGGAAUUACUGGGCGUAAAGCGCACGCAGGCGGUCUGUCAAGUCGGAUGUGAAAUCCCCGGGCUCAACCUGGGAACUGCAUUCGAAACUGGCAGGCUAGAGUCUUGUAGAGGGGGGUAGAAUUCCAGGUGUAGCGGUGAAAUGCGUAGAGAUCUGGAGGAAUACCGGUGGCGAAGGCGGCCCCCUGGACAAAGACUGACGCUCAGGUGCGAAAGCGUGGGGAGCAAACAGGAUUAGAUACCCUGGUAGUCCACGCCGUAAACGAUGUCGAUUUGGAGGUUGUGCCCUUGAGGCGUGGCUUCCGGAGCUAACGCGUUAAAUCGACCGCCUGGGGAGUACGGCCGCAAGGUUAAAACUCAAAUGAAUUGACGGGGGCCCGCACAAGCGGUGGAGCAUGUGGUUUAAUUCGAUGCAACGCGAAGAACCUUACCUGGUCUUGACAUCCACAGAACUUNUUGGUGCCUUCGGGAACUGUGAGACAGGUGCUGCAUGGCUGUCGUCAGCUCGUGUUGUGAAAUGUUGGGUUAAGUCCCGCAACGAGCGCAACCCUUAUCCUUUGUUGCCAGCGGUUCGGCCGGGAACUCAAAGGAGACUGCCAGUGAUAAACUGGAGGAAGGUGGGGAUGACGUCAAGUCAUCAUGGCCCUUACGACCAGGGCUACACACGUGCUACAAUGGCAUAUACAAAGAGAAGCGACCUCGCGAGAGCAAGCGGACCUCAUAAAGUAUGUCGUAGUCCGGAUUGGAGUCUGCAACUCGACUCCAUGAAGUCGGAAUCGCUAGUAAUCGUAGAUCAGAAUGCUACGGUGAAUACGUUCCCGGGCCUUGUACACACCGCCCGUCACACCAUGGGAGUGGGUUGCAAAAGAAGUAGGUAGCUUAACCUUCGGGAGGGCGCUUACCACUUUGUGAUUCAUGACUGGGGUGAAGUCGUAACAAGGUAACCGUAGGGGAACCUGCGGUUGGAUCACCU
rnacentral:rRNA from 1 species